AGAAAUUGGCUUGAAACAGAAUGUUUUUGAAAUUUCAGAAAAUCACUGACAAUCGAUUGUUGUAUUUGACAAUCGAUUGUGUACUGGGCAAAAAAAAUGGUCUAAGUCCUAAAAAUUGAUUUUGGAAGUAUGGUAAUCAGUUUUGAAUAUAUUAUAAUCAAUUUUGGAAUUAUGACAAUUGAUUAUGAAUGAAACAACGUCAU
rnacentral:lncRNA from 1 species